rnacentral:lncRNA from 1 species
CAUAUAAUAUACAUACAUCCAUACUCAUUGAACCCACCACUUCAAUUGUUAUACCACUAAUUAUGAUUCUUUCAAGCAUUAUUAUACAAUGAGCUUAUAGCAGUAACCCACUCUUUUCCCACGAAAACAAAUGAGCAUGAUAUAUUGCCUCCCCUCUCCAAUUGCACAUCAAAAAGUCCAAAAAAGAUCUCAAAUACCAUUAUAUGGUUACGCUGACUUGGCAUCAAAGGCAGUCAAAUAGUCAUUUCCCAACAAUCCCUUUUGAACUCCUUUCAAAUUUCUCUUAUCUUCCCACCAUCAAACAUGCAAUAUAAACAGACCCAAUUCUUAAGUGUAGCCCCAGAAAACUGAAGAUCAGGUCCAAUGGAUAGAAAUGAUCAAUCAGAUUGACUUGGUUACGAAAGAUGGACCAAAAUCUGUAACGCCACAUGUCACAACAAGGACAACAAUCAGGUUGCUUAUCAAACAUCGAGAGCACCAGAUACAGAUACUGAGUUAAAAGUAACCCUACUCCUUUAAAGAUAAACCUACUCCACUAGUUGCCUGUAUGAAUUAGGUCACUAAUUUGCCCGUAUGAAAAGUAACCCAAUCAAAGCUUCAUUGAGAGAAAUAAAACCCUACCAUCUCUCAUAUUUAAUUCUUCAAAACUUAUGGGGAGCAAAUACAUGCCUUACCAAUUUAUAGGGUUAAGCACAUGGCAUCAUGAAAACCUAUAAAAAAGAAUAUACAACAAAACCCCAAACCAAAUCUCUUUCAUAAACCUACAUGGAUGUGCAACAUUUGCGCUACCAAGCACAUAUUUGAAGCACUUCAGUCAGUUAAGAUAUUCUUCAAACCACUCUCUACUAUUCUCUUCCUUUGACUGAAUAAUCACGAUGAAAUUCUCUUAAUCAAAUAAACAAACAACUAAUUAUUCCUUGCAUAUACAAAUUUAAUCACAGGUAAUGCAAAAUAUAUCUUUCAAAGAUGUUUUGGUUUCAUGUCACAUGAGAACCUAAAACCUUACCAACAGUGAUCAGUAUGGAGAUCUUAAUCUAAUUAUUGUAAGGGAAGCCAUGUUGUCGGAGACUUAUAGGCAAAUCUUUCUAGUCCAAAUAUGCUUACUUCACUAAAUGCUAAUGUUUGACUACCAGUGUUAUGUAACCUAGCACAUGGUUCAGUAAUUUUAGAUACCUAAAAAAGAUACCUAUCAGGAUUUUACUUACAGCCAUAAGCUAAAAAUUUGAACCAUCAUGACUAAGUGUUGUGAUAAAAGAUAAUUUGAUUACUGUUUUGUUUUGAGACUAUCAAGAUAAUCACAAGAAUGAAGUUUAAUUCACACUAGAAGACAAGGAUGUAUAAGCAUACUUUAGUAGAACUCCAAAGUCCAAACUGAAACACGCUUGAGUAAAAGUAAAGCAGGAAAACAUUAGGGAGCCAAAGGAAUGGUGAUGCACAGGUGAAUCAUAUGAUAUUAACAUGGUAAAUAAACAUGGAAUAAUUAAUGAUAUAUAUAUAAAAAAAAUGAAGUCACUAAAGAAAUUGGAUGAUGUGUUUAUGAAUGUGGCUGAUCUCAUUGUCUAGUAAAUUCUCUACUUGACCAGUUCCCAACAACUAGAUUCGGUUGAUGAGGUCGGUAUAGACGGUUGGUUGAAUGAGGUUUGAAGCAAUUCCUACCUUUUUUUAACACUCUAAACACAUCUUACAUGUUAAGGGAUUGUACCUGGCACAACCCAAGGCUUGCAUGUGGCACCCAGUCACCAAUGUCUAUAUUUUAUUUGAAUUUUCAAAGUGGUCUCUCUUCAAUCAAGAUACCGCCCACUGCAUGGUUGAGCACAGACACAAAUACACGUAGCCCUCAGUCUUUCAAACUGUGAGUCCAACAUUUUCUUGGGGUAGAGAGAUUAGGAGAAAAAAUAGAGCACAAAUCCCAAGUUGGGAUUGCUUAUAAGGGAGUAUUGGGGAUGAACAUGAUACUUCUUGAUACAUAUUUAAGAGGCCUCCCUUAUUUCUCUCAAGCAUUUUUCUCAGUCUCUCACAUGUAUUUUGAUAGUUUAGAUUCCACAAUUUGUUAAAGGUGAAAUUGAUAUUACCAAGGUUAGGUUUCUGAGGAUCAUGAUAGUAUGGUACCUUAAUAUAUUUCUUAAGUAUCAUAAAAAAGUAUAAAAGAAGAAAUAAGAAAGCAUAAAAAUAAGUAAAAUCCUUAGCAAUAACGCUUUCAACUCUGCAUAGAGAGAAAGUUAUAUUGUAUUAUGAUUUAAGUGUGUGUGAUGCACCAUUCAUAUAAAGGAAAUCAACAUAAUCAACCAACAUUCAGAGAAGAAUCAAUUCCUAGGUCUUCGAUGUGAGAAAUGUGAUUGGAUAAUAUAAGCAGUUUGAUUCAUCAUUUAUCAGUUGCGUGAAGAAAAGACUCUCACCAAAGAAGGAUGAGCAUGGCAGUUAAGGGCAAAUGCCUCUUAGGACUCACAGGGGUGCAAAUGUGCAAUAUAGAUGGGGUAUUUAAGCCCAGCCGAAUAUGCUAUUCUAUAUAAGGAAAGAAAGUACAAGGAAUGACUAUAUGCAAAUAUCUUUGUAGGUUCCUUGGAUAACUACUCAAAGUUUUAUAACUUCAAGAGUGUAAUCGUGUUCUUGUUAACUUAAAUUCAUGCAUUCCACGUAGACUCCCACAUUCUGAUCCAUCCAAAAAAGCAAGUGACAAUUAACAUUUUGUCUGGAAGGAUUGACUUUGUGGGGGAAGUAAACAAUUGUGUUGAAAGUCUAAUUACUAUCAGAACUUCGUAUAUAAAUCAAUGUAACACAUGCCUUUCACUACUACUCCUUAAGUCAAUGAAGUGUGUUUUGUUUCUUUUCCUCCUCAGUAAUGCUCACUCUUUGACAUAGAAUGAAUAAUAUCUACAUGACUCUAUUUGUUAUAGACUUAUAGUGUAAUUUAGAGUAAUAUCAAAUAAGUAUUGUAGUUAAUAUUUUUUUUUUUUUUUUAUUGGCAAGCGGGGUUGAAGGGACCCCUACCCCUUUCAAUUAGGAGUGAACAUCAACAAUCAGCUGUUGACGUGUUUCGAACCCACAACCUCUCCACUUUGUGAGAGGGGUGCUACCAUUGAGCCACAUGCUCAUUCGCUAUUGUAGUU